rnacentral:rRNA from 1 species
UGGGGAAUAUUGCACAAUGGGCGCAAGCCUGAUGCAGCGACGCCGCGUGAGGGAUGGAGGUCUUCGGUUUGUAAACCUCUUUCGCCAGUGAAGCAGGCCAUCUUCUUUGUGGGGUGGUUGACGGUAGCUGGAUAAGAAGCGCCGGCUAACUACGUGCCAGCAGCCGCGGUAAUACGUAGGGCGCGAGCGUUGUCCGGAAUUAUUGGGCGUAAAGAGCUCGUAGGCGGCUGGUCGCGUCUGUCGUGAAAUCCCCUGGCUUAACUGGGGGCUUGCAGUGGGUACGAGCCGGCUUGAGUGCGGUAGGGGAGACUGGAAUUCCUGGUGUAGCGGUGGAAUGCGCAGAUAUCAGGAGGAACACCGGUGGCGAAGGCGGGUCUCUGGGCCGUUACUGACGCUGAGGAGCGAAAGCGUGGGGAGCGAACAGG